UGGGCGUAAGCGCACGCAGGCGGUCUGUUAAGUCAGAUGUGAAAUCCCCGGGCUUAACCUGGGAACUGCAUUUGAAACUGGCAGGCUUGAGUCUCGUAGAGGGGGGUAGAAUUCCAGGUGUAGCGGUGAAAUGCGUAGAGAUCUGGAGGAAUACCGGUGGCGAAGGCGGCCCCCUGGACGAAGACUGACGCUCAGGUGCGAAAGCGUGGGGAGCAAACAGGAUUAGAUACCCUGGUAGUCCACGCCGUAAACGAUGUCGACUUGGAGG
rnacentral:rRNA from 1 species